UAAUUGUCAAAAUUAAGAAACCCAUUUCCUAUUGACUAAAACCUUAGAAACUAUCUAUUAUAAAAAACAUUAACAAGAAGAAAAAUCCAACUUAAACUAUCCUAUUCUUUAAAAACACCCCGCAGUUCAAAUUUUCUGGCAUCCCACCCCUUAAUUCUACAAGCCAUCGUUCUAUCUUCAAUUGUUCUGUAUCAUUGUUGUCCUUAAUGGAGAUUUCGUAGAAAUAGAAACCGUCAGAGUCCCUUUGUUCUUAUUUCCUCCGACUUAUUUCAAAAGUCGUUCAGAGAUCUUCUAUCCUCUUCGGUCGUCGAUUCCGUUUUUGGGGAGCCUCCUCGAUCCAAAUCCUCGAUUUUGUCCAUUGUUUUCUUUCCUCAGUCAUCGCAUGAGCCGCAUGAUUUACCAAAAAUAGCAGGUAAAGCUUUUGAAUCUUUGUGCUUUUUCUUUUAUUUCUUAUACAAUCGUCGCGAUACUCGAUCUGUCCUCAUCUCCUGUUUGGAUUUUUUAUGACUGCUAAGAAGUCACCUUCUACUGUCAGUUUAUGAAACCCUAGUUCCUUAGCCACCAUCACUGAUUGUAGACAUGCUUUCGCCUCUGUCGUGGUUGCAUCGGCUAUAAAAUUGUUCUGGUAAGUGCAUGCUUCCAAUAUAUAUCCCUCGACGUCUCUAAAUAUGAUUCUCGUAACCGAACUUAGCAUGUUUCUAUUAUAUGCCGCAUCGAAAUUGUAAUUGACUUCAUUUUCUCUCGGUGGUUUCCAAAUACAAUCGUUCUAUCGUAUAUUUGUUGUUGUUUUUGGAACUAUGUGGUUACUCUCUGCCUGGGAUGGUUUGAUAAAUGCGAUUAACCCAACUGUACUUUGUUUUUCACCUUGAUGGUAAACUUUAUUUCUUUGGUGCCAUACUGCCCAUAGAGAUAUUUCUAGGCAUUUGCAUUGUUCUUCUUCCAUACUAACAAAUAGAUUUGCUAACCAUAAUUUCCAGUUUUGGCCUUGGGACUAGGAGAGGCAUCGAUCCCUACCCCUUGCAGGAUAUUUUUGACAAACAUACAGUCCCAGAAUAUAUGGUUCACCGAUUCUUCCGUUGAGUGACAUAGUGGGUAAUCGUUCAUCACCCUCACCUUCUUAGAUUGAAGGUUGUUAAGAGUAGGAAUAUAGUUAUUUAUUACUUUCCACAUUCUAAUUUUGAUCUUGCUUGCAAUUUGUAAGUUCCAUAGUCUGGUGUAGAAUUUCUGUAAAAUCGUCGGUUGUAGCAUUACUUCCUUUUACAUUUGUGUUGUAUCUUCUUUAAACAACCACUUGUAUCCUCUUUUUGUUGAGUACACUCAUGUAUUAUCACCCCUCUAAAAACCCUGAUGUCCUUGAUGUUGACUCCAACAAUUGGGAUGGUAUGAAUUCUGUUUGCUUGCUCCUCGUCAAAAAGCUUUCUUAGGACUUCUGACCUCUAGGUGAUCUGUUCAGAAUUAAUUAAGUUUGCUACUAGUGUGAAGUUGAUAUUAAUAUUCUAACAAGUUAUUUUUCCAUGUCCAGGCCUUGGAAGCUAAGCUUCGUUCCAUAUAUUGAUUGAUUUGCCAUUUCUUACCCUUCAUCCUAUGUCUACCUCAAAAAGUCCUCUCGCGCACCAUAUGCUCCCCCAGGUAAAUGAUAGGUGAAAUCCUAAACUUGUAUUAAAAAAUUCACUAUUUGAGUAAAAUUUUACUUUUAUAACACGAGCAAAUAAGCAGUUUGGAUUCAUAAUUAACUUCCAACCCUGAUAUGUAAGUAAAGCAAUAUUAAAUUUAGCCAAAUCUCUAAAACCUAAUCCUUCUUGCGCUUUCGAUUUGCACUCCUCCCUCCACUCACACCAAUGAAUCCCCUUUCAUGUUUUGGAAUUUAUUUACCAGAAUUUGCUAAUAAUGUUUUCUAACUCACGACAAAGGAUAAUAGGCAAUAAGAAACAUUACAUUGUAUAAACUGGUAUGGCUUGUAAAAUUGACUUAAUAAAGACUUCUUUACCUGUAAGCGAUU
rnacentral:lncRNA from 1 species